GGAAAAGAUGGCCAGAAUGUACACGGACCGGAUUCUGUUAUAUCAAUGAUUGAUCACACCUUCCACACGUUUGGUACUGGAGAGACGGAAUGUGGUAUUCAUGCUGAUAAUUGUUUCGGUCAGAACAAGAACAGAUACGUGCUGGCGUACUUAUCAUGGCGCACGAUGACUGGGCGGCACAGAACAAUCAGAUAUAUGAUGCAGUUACCAGGACACAAAAGGUGCCUGAUCGACGCCGGGUUUGGGACUAUUAGACAUUUACGGAUUAAGUCUACGUGGACUGUGGACACCUAAGGCGAUAGAUUUUUCAAGGGGACCGUCUCAACAUAGUUUAAUUAUAUUAUGCGCGAUAUGAAAAAGAGUUUAUAACGGCAAUAGGGUUUGAGUUAUUAUAUCAUCACUAUGCGGUAGGUGAUAUAAAUUUGGAUGUGCCUGUUUUUAGCUCGACCUUUCGAAGAAAAAGUAGAGCUAUUGCACUCGCUCCGGCGUCGGCGUCGGCGUCUCCGUUGGGUUAAAACUUUUGAUAAAGUCAAAUAUCUCUGUUACUGUCAAAGCUAUUGACUUGAAACUUAAAAAGUCUACACAAGGAAGAACAAUCCCCGUAACUCUGAUUGAAUUUUUACAGAAUUAUGCCCCUUUUUAAUUUAUCAUUUUUUGUUAUAGUUUUUGAUAAAGUCAAAUAUCUCUGUUACUAUCAAAGCUAUUGACUUGAAUCUUAAAAUACUAAUUUACUAUUUAAGUCUUCACGCGUAGAAACAAUCCCCAUAACUCUGAUUGAAUUUUGUUAGUAUUAUGUCCUUUUUUAACAGAAUUUUUGGUUAAAGUUUCUGAUAAAGGCAAAUAUCUCUGUUACUAUCGAAGCUAUUGACUUGAAACUUGAAAUAGUUAUUUACCAUCAAAGGCUUCACCAGGAGAAACUAUCCACAUAACUCUGAUUUAAUUUUGAUAGAAUUAUGCCCCUUUUUAACUUAGAAUUUUUGGUUAAAGUUUUUGAUAAAGUCAAAUAUCUCUGUUACUAUCAAAGCUAUAUUGACUUGAAACUUAAAAUAGUUAUUAACUAUCAAAACCUACACCAAGAAAAGCAAACCCCAUAACUCUGAUUUGGAUUUUGGCAGAAUUAUGCCCUUUUUUAACUUAGAUUAUUUUGUUAAACGUUUUGAUAAUUUCAAAUAUCUCUGUUACUAUUAAAGCUUUUGACUUGAAACUUAAAAUAGUUAUUUACUAUCGAAGUCUACACAAGGAAAAUCAAUCCCCAUAACACUGAUUUGACAAGAAAUUAUAACUCUGAUGUUGCUCAGUUUAAGCUCUAUAUGGAGGCACUCACGACAACGACUUUCAAGAACCGUACAUGUCUGUGCAUCCCUUGUGUGUAGAAGAAAACAUAUCGGAUUGAUUGUAUAAACUGAAAACUGUCAACAAGAAAUGAAUUUCAUUUCAUUCAUGUUUAUGCCAUAAUACAGUAUAGGUGGGAAGAUUUGUUUAUUUUGAUUAUUUUCCUAUCUUCCGUUCAUUUAUCUAGUAAAAAGGCUGUCCAUCUCUUUGUCCAUCCACUACUGACAAAUUAAAACAAUAAAGUUAUACGAAUACAAAUUCUUUAACGCGGCUAAUACAGAAAUAACAAGUGCUCCGCCAAGCGAGGCAAUAUACGCUCGAAGGAUUAUAUCAGGGGAUGGGAGCAAAAUUUAAAGAACUUUA